CUAGAAAAGUAUAUACAACAAAUAUAUGCUGGCAUGUAGAUAUAUGGCACGCAUUGUGCAUUAUAGAAAAUGCAUUAACACAGACACACAAGCAAAAGAAAAUAUGAGAAAGAAAUAUUGGUCUCAUAAUUAUACACAAAGUAAAGAAAGAUAAUAGGGCAGUAAUGCAAUGGAAUAAUCUCAAGAAUAUAGGAAUAAGAAUAAUAAAGAAAAUUACACAUAUAACAAAUAGACAAGUACAGUCACUUAUAAAAGUUACAUACUACCAGGCCAUGUAAAUUGAACUUAUAGAUUAUCUGAAGUACACAGUGCAGCAGGAGGUGCUCACUGGCCUCCUCCACGGUCCUGCACAAGGAGACUAUAGAACAGGAGAGGGGGCCUCUAUGGGAGACCGUGGGCGGGUGUUGGUGUAUGUCGGUUGCAACAGAUGGCGCAGGAGCAGCUUUGUUUACAUCCAGGCGCCUCCCCCCCUCCAGACCCACCCCAAGCCCCCAGUACCCAUCAGCAGUGUUGCUACAUGGGAUCAAGCAGCAAAUGUUGCUACUUUUUUUCUUCAGUCUGGUUAUUUCCCAUUUUAAAUAAAAAAAAAAAUAAAGGUAGAUAAAUAUUAAAAUGAACAGUAGGAACUAUAUAUAUACUGUAUAUAUUUACUAGGUAGAUAUAGCCUGACUGCAUGUCAUGAGUAAUGCUAUUAUUGUUAUAUUAUUAUACCGCAAUUAUAUUAUUUUCUCUGCAUGUGUGGUUAGAUGUGUUUUAUGUGUUUAACCUUUCUGUAUACAUACUGGAAUGAACCAAGGAAUUGUAGCCCUACUGCCGUACUUUAAAACUAUGUGAUCAUGUUUUUUCUUCCAAACUCAUUGUUUUAGCACGCACGCUGACUCCCAUCAGUAAUGAUGAUAUAUAUACAUUGAGUCAUUGGUUUGUAGGGGGAAAGAGUGGGUGAAUAUAAUUAUCUCGGUCUAACUUAUACUGUUUAUUAUACCGCUAUUUGCAGCAAUAUCUUUCUCUGCUCCGAUUGCAACGCUGCCUCGUUCAAAAAUCAUAACACCGCCGCGGCCGCCACGUUUACCAGCCGGAGCCUCAAAUCAUGUCCCUUUGUGGUGAUAAAGAGGACACAGCCUGGUGUGAAGCUACAUUUAUUACGGAAGGAUGCCAGCCGGGAUCCGAACACGUCCGAUAUCAUCCAAGAGAAUGUGGCAGCUGAAGGGGGAGAGGCCAAGAAAGAGGCCAAGGGUGAAGACAUUUAGCCACCCCCCCUGAAGUACAUGGCAUCAUUCAACCCUCUUGGUGAGCUGCAGGAAUGUGCUUCCCAUUGCAGUGCACCAGCUCCAUGUACUGAUUUUGGUGUGAACUUGAUGGGGUUGGAGGAAACUCGACUCGGCCAUCAAGCUCACCACAAUAUAACAUGAAAAGUGAAAAUUGCUCCACACAACAGUCUGUCGUCUGCACCGGGAGGCAAGGCAGCUCAAAGCCCAGGCUGUUACAAAUCCUGGGCAGUUUUUGCCCAGAGCCAGCAAUAUUUUAGAUCCAAUAGGGAUGGAUUUUUUCUGAGGUCAGGUUCAACAUGCUGCAAGAUGCCAAGAUCUAAGCCUAGUAGGAGAUAUGGGUUACAAGAGAGGAGGUUUGCUCUGGCCUUAUACUAUCAAAGUCGAAAUGCUAAUAGAUUUCUGAGCACAGUAUUUCACUUGUCUUCAGUUUCAACACUUCACUCAUGACUCAGGGGUAUUUCAGUACAUGUUGGCUGGAGCAAACAGACUCUGACAGCCCUGCAGCAAAGAGCAUAGGCUUUGUCAAAAGAAGAGAAACUUCGUGGGAUUUGCCAUUAUUUAGAAUUACUCUUGUUACGCCAAGAAUUUUUUUCCAUAUACUUUGCCAAAUAUUGCAAGUAAUGCACCAUUGUUGGGCUUGCUUGUUAUAAAUCAGAUCUUGUUCAAUUAACAAGCUUUGGGUGUCUGCCACUUUUCAGUUGUAAUGCAAGGAAUCAUUUAUCUUCCCUGCUAGAUAUCACACGUAAUGCACCAUUGUUGGUUUUGCCUGUUAUAAAUCAGAUCUUGUUCAGUUAAAAAGCUUUAGGUGUCUGCCACUUUCCAAUUGUAAUGCAAGGAAUCCCCUGCCAGAUAUCGCAUGUAAUGCACCAUUGUUGGUUUUGCCUAUUAUAAAUCAGAUCUUGUUCAGCUCGCAAGCUUUGAAUAUCUGCCAUUGCUUAUUUCAGGUGUAAUGCUUGGAAGCAUUUGUUCUCUUCCCUACCCAACAGUAUGCAAUACUUUAUUGUGGAUUUUGCCUGUUAUAUUUAAUCUUGUUCAGGUAGCAAGCUUUUGGUGUCUGCCUUACCUAAUAUGUCCUGCAGUGACACUUGGCUUGGUUUCAUAAUGUGAAAUACAGCAUGUAAUUUCAUCACACUAAGUGUCUAUCAUCACGUGUCUGGCAUCAUUAAUGUGGCUUCCAGGAGUAAUCUUGUUUGUAUUACAGCUUGCAAAUUUUUUUCUGCUUUAUAUGAUAUACAUAAUCACAUAGGUAUGAUUUACAAAAUGUAAUGGCAGUUGAUAUUCUUGACUAAUGCCUCAUAAACCUUGUGAAAAAUAAUGCU